rnacentral:rRNA from 1 species
AGCGCAGGCGGGAAGGCAAGUUGGAAGUGAAAUCCAUGGGCUCAACCCAUGAACUGCUUUCAAAACUGUUUUUCUUGAGUAGUGCAGAGGUAGGCGGAAUUCCCGGUGUAGCGGUGGAAUGCGUAGAUAUCGGGAGGAACACCAGUGGCGAAGGCGGCCUACUGGGCACCAACUGACGCUGAGGCUCGAAAGUGUGGGUGCAAACA